GACGUAGGGCGCGAGCGUUGUCCGGAUUUACUGGGCGUAAAGAGCGCGCAGGCGGUGGUUCAAGUCGCGUGUGAAAGCCCCCGGCUCAACUGGGGAGGGUGACGCGAUACUGAUCGACUCGAAGGCAGGAGAGGGUAGUGGAAUUCCCGGUGUAGUGGUGAAAUGCGUAGAUAUCGGGAGGAACCCCAGAGGCGAAGGCGGCGCUCUGGAUCGCACCUGACGCUCAGACACGACAGCAUGGGGAGCGAACGGG
rnacentral:rRNA from 1 species